rnacentral:lncRNA from 1 species
CAGAAGAUUUCGACAACAAAUACAUCGAGGAACCACGAAAGGCGCCCUCGGUGUGGAGCGGGCAGGAGGGAGACGCGCGGAGCGAGGUAGGGCCCUGCCCGGCCCCGCCGCGUCCCUCCUAGGCCCCAGGCGACGCCAGGAGGUAAGAUUUACCUCACUGGUCAAGGGCAGCCUCUGGCCUGGACACCUGCGAUAGACAGACGCCUCCCCUGCUCACACCUGAAACACACCGCAAUGGCCGAGGACCAGUUACCGGUCGUCGACAGGCGUCCUCCACAACUCCUCCACAAGUGCGCUUCACCUGAGGUGGCCCCUUCUCCGCGACGCUUCUGAGAUUCGAUUUUUCCAAUUGCUUUCAAGUAUGGCGGCUUGCCUUCACCUUCAGUACCUAAUCCAGGAACUUGGUCUUCCACCUGCACCAUCUCUAAUCUGUGAAGCUGGAAGGUGAUGUUUUGUCAGCCCAGCAUCCCUCCCCUCCUUCCUUGGGUAAAAAUCUCCAUCCCUCUGGCUACAGAGGUGGGCACAGAGCCCAGAAUGAGCCAAUCACAGUAACUCAUCUCCCACC